rnacentral:rRNA from 2 species
CAGUCGACGAACUCUGGUAUUGAUUGGUGCUUGCAUCAUGAUUUACAUUUGAGUGAGUGGCGAACUGGUGAGUAACACGUGGGAAACCUGCCCAGAAGCGGGGGAUAACACCUGGAAACAGAUGCUAAUACCGCAUAACAACUUGGACCGCAUGGUCCGAGUUUGAAAGAUGGCUUCGGCUAUCACUUUUGGAUGGUCCCGCGGCGUAUUAGCUAGAUGGUGGGGUAACGGCUCACCAUGGCAAUGAUACGUAGCCGACCUGAGAGGGUAAUCGGCCACAUUGGGACUGAGACACGGCCCAAACUCCUACGGGAGGCAGCAGUAGGGAAUCUUCCACAAUGGACGAAAGUCUGAUGGAGCAACGCCGCGUGAGUGAAGAAGGGUUUCGGCUCGUAAAACUCUGUUGUUAAAGAAGAACAUAUCUGAGAGUAACUGUUCAGGUAUUGACGGUAUUUAACCAGAAAGCCACGGCUAACUACGUGCCAGCAGCCGCGGUAAUACGUAGGUGGCAAGCGUUGUCCGGAUUUAUUGGGCGUAAAGCGAGCGCAGGCGGUUUUUUAAGUCUGAUGUGAAAGCCUUCGGCUCAACCGAAGAAGUGCAUCGGAAACUGGGAAACUUGAGUGCAGAAGAGGACAGUGGAACUCCAUGUGUAGCGGUGAAAUGCGUAGAUAUAUGGAAGAACACCAGUGGCGAAGGCGGCUGUCUGGUCUGUAACUGACGCUGAGGCUCGAAAGUAUGGGUAGCAAACAGGAUUAGAUACCCUGGUAGUCCAUACCGUAAACGAUGAAUGCUAAGUGUUGGAGGGUUUCCGCCCUUCAGUGCUGCAGCUAACGCAUUAAGCAUUCCGCCUGGGGAGUACGGCCGCAAGGCUGAAACUCAAAGGAAUUGACGGGGGCCCGCACAAGCGGUGGAGCAUGUGGUUUAAUUCGAAGCUACGCGAAGAACCUUACCAGGUCUUGACAUACUAUGCAAAUCUAAGAGAUUAGACGUUCCCUUCGGGGACAUGGAUACAGGUGGUGCAUGGUUGUCGUCAGCUCGUGUCGUGAGAUGUUGGGUUAAGUCCCGCAACGAGCGCAACCCUUAUUAUCAGUUGCCAGCAUUAAGUUGGGCACUCUGGUGAGACUGCCGGUGACAAACCGGAGGAAGGUGGGGAUGACGUCAAAUCAUCAUGCCCCUUAUGACCUGGGCUACACACGUGCUACAAUGGAUGGUACAACGAGUUGCGAACUCGCGAGAGUAAGCUAAUCUCUUAAAGCCAUUCUCAGUUCGGAUUGUAGGCUGCAACUCGCCUACAUGAAGUCGGAAUCGCUAGUAAUCGCGGAUCAGCAUGCCGCGGUGAAUACGUUCCCGGGCCUUGUACACACCGCCCGUCACACCAUGAGAGUUUGUAACACCCAAAGUCGGUGGGGUAA